GUGCUCGUUUCGGCAGCACAUCUACUAAAACUGGACUGAUACAGAGAAGAUCAGCCUGGCCCUUCGCAAGGAUGACAGAUUUGUGAAGCGUUCCAUGUUAAU